AGAUGGGGGUCGCGGCUGCCCUGAGCAUGGGGGAGAAACCGCGGCUCUACGACCCGCCCAUCAACGAGGAGCAGGCCUGAGCCGUGGGCUACCAGCGCUGCGGACGCCGUGAGCGCUCCGCCGCGCACAUCCUCGUCCUGAGGGGGGGCGCCCUCACCCCGACGCGGGAGAGCCGCCCCUGCCGCAGGAAACUAGCCAAGAAGUGGAAGGAGACGAUGAGCAGCACCUAGCCCAAGAUGACCGUCAUGGUGAACUCAAUGGACAAGAGCUAUGUGGAGCAAGGUGCAAACUACGACUAGGUGUUCUCGUUCACGGACACGCACAAUCUGAACGGGAAAUCUGUGUCUUCACCAUCAUCGUCUGCAUUGAAAACAAAUACACUGAGCACAUGGGUGCAUAAUGCCUAUUACCCAGACCCAUUUGUGCCAACUGCAAUCUUAGUUUCUUUUCCUAGACAAAACCCACCGAUGGCCACUGAGACCAGCAGCUUGGUGCAUUCCCACACUGAGAAGAAGCACGAGCCGGCUGACAUGCCCUACCAGACCGGGAAGCUUCACCCCACCAUCCAGGUGGCAGAUCUGCUUUAACACAUCACACAGAUAAAGUGUGCUGAGGGCUCUGGCUUAAAGAAGGAAUACGAAGUGAGCAUGAGCUUUGCACCAGGGCUCCUUCUCAACCUUCCUGGGCAUGAUGCCAGGUACUGUGCUCCCAACUCAUUCAGCCAGCCAGUGGGACCCCAUGAGGGCUGCCAAGAAGGGGCCAUGUAUUUCAUCCAUGGAUCCAUUUCCAUCUGGCUGUGAGACUUAUGACCCGGAAGCUAACAUAUGUUAAAUGGAAAAAGGAGGACCACUUCACCUUUUCCAUAUUCUGUAUGAAUUUGCAAUGAAAACAGAGGCCUACUAGGAUUACCUUUCUUGGCUUUUCCUAUAAUUAUGAUUUUAAAUCCUAAUAAUUUUGUGGUAAUUACCUCAGCAAGAAACUGUCCACUUACAACAAUUUUAGUCCAAUCAGUGAUGUCCUGUGGUGGUGAUGAGACAACAGUAAAGGGACUGGCUAGUGUCAUUGCUGUGACAGCUGUUAUUGUCCUGCCAGCCCAGAGAGCAUGUCACUGUCCUGGGCUCUGGUGCUGACAGCUUUUAGGGGCAUUUCCAGGAACAGUGAUAUUCUUAUCAUAUAUAAAAUGUAGGGCUCACCUUCUUCACAGCCACUGUCAUUAGCUAAUUCUGUGGGAAAAUCAUUCAAGAACUAAAGAGAAUUACUCCAUUUGAAGAAGUCUGAUUCAAAGAAGCACACCGUUACCUGAGUAUGUGUGUGUUGUGUGUAUGUGAGUGAG